rnacentral:rRNA from 1 species
ACUGGGCGUAAGCGCACGCAGGCGGUCUGUCAAGUCGGAUGUGAAAUCCCCGGGCUCAACCUGGGAACUGCAUUCGAAACUGGCAGGCUAGAGUCUUGUAGAGGGGGGUAGAAUUCCAGGUGUAGCGGUGAAAUGCGUAGAGAUCUGGAGGAAUACCGGUGGCGAAGGCGGCCCCCUGGACAAAGACUGACGCUCAGGUGCGAAAGCGUGGGGAGCAAACAGGAUUAGAUACCCUGGUAGUCCACGCCGUAAACGAUGUCGACUUGGAGGUUGUGCCCUUGAGGCGUGGCUUCCGGAGCUAACGCGUUAAGUCGACCGCCUGGGGAGUACGGCCGCAAGGUUAAAACUCAAAUGAAUUGACGGGGGCCCGCACAAGCGGUGGAGCAUGUGGUUUAAUUCGAUGCAACGCGAAGAACCUUACCUACUCUUGACAUCCAGAGAACUUUCCAGAGAUGCAUUGGUGCCUUCGGGAACUCUGAGACAGGUGCUGCAUGGCUGUCGUCAGCUCGUGUUGUGAAAUGUUGGGUUAAGUCCCGCAACGAGCGCAACCCUUAUCCUUUGUUGCCAGCGGUUAGGCCGGGAACUCAAAGGAGACUGCCAGUGAUAAACUGGAGGA